CCCGGCGCUGAAGCACCGGGCUAUUUUCUAUCGCCCCUUCGAGGCU
rfam:Desulfomonile tiedjei DSM 6799, complete genome.